rnacentral:rRNA from 1 species
UGAGCAAUCUGCCCUUCACAUCGGAAUAACCAUUGGAAACGAUGGCUAAUACCGAAUAUGACUUCGGAUCACAUGAUCUGAAGUGGAAAGCUCCGGCGGUGAAGGAUGAGCUCGCGGCCUAUCAGCUUGUUGGUGAGGUAAUAGCUCACCAAGGCGAUGACGGGUAGCCGGCCUGAGAGGGUGACCGGCCACACGUGGGACUGAGACACGGCAGA